rnacentral:rRNA from 1 species
GUGUGUUCCAGGUAAAUCCGGUUCACUUUAACACUGAGGCGUGACGACGAGGCACUACGGUGCUGAAGCAACAAAUGCCCUGCUUCCAGGAAAAGCCUCUAAGCAUCAGGUAACAUCAAAUCGUACCCCAAACCGACACAGGUGGUCAGGUAGAGAAUACCAAGGCGCUUGAGAGAACUCGGGUGAAGGAACUAGGCAAAAUGGUGCCGUAACUUCGGGAGAAGGCACGCUGACACGUAGGUGAAGUGAUUUACUCAUGGAGCUGAAGUCAGUCGAAGAUACCAGCUGGCUGCAACUGUUUAUUAAAAACACAGCACUGUGCAAACACGAAAGUGGACGUAUACGGUGUGACGCCUGCCCGGUGCCGGAAGGUUAAUUGAUGGGGUCAGCGCAAGCGAAGCUCCUGAUCGAAGCCCCGGUAAACGGCGGCCGUAACUAUAACGGUCCUAAGGUAGCGAAAUUCCUUGUCGGGUAAGUUCCGACCUGCACGAAUGGCGUAAUGAUGGCCAGGCUGUCUCCACCCGAGACUCAGUGAAAUUGAACUCGCUGUGAAGAUGCAGUGUACCCGCGGCAAGACGGAAAGACCCCGUGAACCUUUACUAUAGCUUGACACUGAACAUUGAGCCUUGAUGUGUAGGAUAGGUGGGAGGCUUUGAAGUGUGGACGCCAGUCUGCAUGGAGCCGACCUUGAAAUACCACCCUUUAAUGUUUGAUGUUCUAACGUGGACCCGUUACCCGGGUUGCGGACAGUGUCUGGUGGGUAGUUUGACUGGGGCGGUCUCCUCCUAAAGAGUAACGGAGGAGCACGAAGGUUGGCUAAUCCUGGUCGGACAUCAGGAGGUUAGUGCAAUGGCAUAAGCCAGCUUGACUGCGAGCGUGACGGCGCGAGCAGGUGCGAAAGCAGGUCAUAGUGAUCCGGUGGUUCUGAAUGGAAGGGCCAUCGCUCAACGGAUAAAAGGUACUCCGGGGAUAACAGGCUGAUACCGCCCAAGAGUUCAUAUCGACGGCGGUGUUUGGCACCUCGAUGUCGGCUCAUCACAUCCUGGGGCUGAAGUAGGUCCCAAGGGUAUGGCUGUUCGCCAUUUAAAGUGGUACGCGAGCUGGGUUUAGAACGUCGUGAGACAGUUCGGUCCCUAUCUGCCGUGGGCGCUGGAGAACUGAGGGGGGCUGCUCCUAGUACGAGAGGACCGGAGUGGACGCAUCACUGGUGUUCGGGUUGUCAUGCCAAUGGCACUGCCCGGUAGCUAAAUGCGGAAGAGAUAAGUGCUGAAAGCAUCUAAGCACGAAACUUGCCCCGAGAUGAGUUCUCCCUGAGACUUAGAGUCUCCUGAAGGAACGUUGAAGACGACGACGUUGAU